GUCUCUGAUGGGGAUUUGAUUCAGUUAUAACUUUCGUUCUUCUGAUUAACAAUUCAUGAAGAAUGCUGUAUUGGAGACCUGAACUGAAGAGAC